AACGAACGCUGGCGGCAGGCUUAACACAUGCAAGUCGAACGCCCCGCAAGGGGAGUGGCAGACGGGUGAGUAACGCGUGGGAACAUACCCUUUCCUGCGGAAUAGCUCCGGGAAACUGGAAUUAAUACCGCAUACGCCCUACGGGGGAAAGAUUUAUCGGGGAAGGAUUGGCCCGCGUUGGAUUAGCUAGUUGGUGGGGUAAAGGCCUACCAAGGCGACGAUCCAUAGCUGGUCUGAGAGGAUGAUCAGCCACAUUGGGACUGAGACACGGCCCAAACUCCUACGGGAGGGAGCAGUGGGGAAUAUUGGACAAUGGGGGCAAGGCUGAUCCAGCCAUGCCGGGUGAGUGAUGAAGGCCGUAGGGUUGUAAAGCUCUUUCACCGAUGAAGAUAAUGACGGUAGUCGGAGAAGAAGCCCCGGCUAACUUCGUG
rnacentral:rRNA from 1 species